UGCCGCCGCCGCCUCCGCCUCGGCCGAGAAGCGAUGUAGGAGCCGCCAGGCCGUCCCCCGUCCCGCCCGGCCUGAGCCCCGCGGGCCGCCGCCGCCGUCGCCAUGAAGAAACAGUUCAACCGCAUGAAGCAGCUGGCCAACCAGACCGUGGGCAGAGCCGAGAAAACAGAAGUCCUCAGUGAAGAUCUGUUACAGAUUGAGCGGCGCUUGGACACAGUGCGCUCCAUGUGUCACCAUUCCCACAAGCGCCUGGUGGCCUGCUUCCAGGGGCAGCAUGGCACCGAUGCCGAGAGGAGACACAAAAAACUCCCUGUGACAGCUCUCGCUCAGAAUAUGCAAGAAGCAUCAACUCAGCUAGAAGACUCUCUCCUGGGGAAGAUGCUGGAGACGUGUGGAGAUGCUGAGAAUCAGCUGGCUCUGGAACUCUCUCAGCAUGAAGUCUUUGUCGAGAAGGAGAUCGUGGACCCUCUGUACGGCAUAGCAGAGGUAGAGAUUCCUAACAUCCAGAAACAGAGGAAGCAGCUCGCCAGAUUGGUUUUAGACUGGGACUCGGUCAGAGCCAGAUGGAACCAGGCUCACAAAUCUUCAGCAACCAACUUUCAGGGGCUUCCAUCAAAAAUAGAUACCCUAAAGGAAGAGAUGGAUGAAGCUGGAAAUAAAGUAGAACAGUGCAAGGAUCAACUUGCAGCGGAUAUGUACAAUUUUAUGGCCAAAGAAGGGGAGUAUGGCAAAUUUUUUGUUACGUUAUUAGAAGCUCAAGCAGAUUACCAUAGAAAAGCAUUAGCAGUCUUAGAAAAGGCCCUUCCCGAAUUGCGAGCCCAUCAAGAUAAGUGGGCAGAGAAGCCCGCCUUCGGGACGCCUUUGGAAGAACACCUGAAGCGGAGCGGGCGUGAGAUCGCGCUGCCCCUUGAGGCCUGCGUCAUGCUGCUCCUGGAGACGGGCAUGAAGGAGGAGGGCCUUUUCCGAAUUGGGGCUGGGGCCUCCAAGUUAAAGAAACUGAAAGCUGCUUUAGACUGUUCUACUUCUCACCUGGAUGAGUUCUACUCAGACCCCCAUGCUGUAGCAGGUGCUUUAAAGUCCUAUUUACGGGAACUGCCUGAACCUUUGAUGACUUUUAAUUUGUAUGAAGAAUGGACACAAGUUGCAAGUGUACAAGAUCAAGACAAAAAACUUCAGGAUUUGUGGAGAACAUGUCAGAAGUUGCCACCACAAAAUUUUGUUAACUUUAGGUAUUUAAUCAAGUUCCUUGCAAAGCUUGCUCAGACCAGUGACAUUAAUAAAAUGACUCCCAGCAACAUUGCAAUCGUGUUAGGCCCUAACUUGUUAUGGGCCAAAAAUGAAGGAACGCUAGCCGAAAUGGCAGCGGCCACAUCCGUCCACGUGGUUGCUGUCAUUGAACCCAUCAUUCAGCAUGCCAACUGGUUCUUCCCCGAAGAGGUGGAAUUUAAUGUAUCAGAAGCAUUCGUACCUCUCACCACCCCAAAUUCCAAUCACUCAUCCCACACUGGAAAUGACCCUGUCGACUCGGGGACCCUGGAGAGGAAGCGGCCUGCCAGCAUGGCGGUGAUGGAGGGGGACCUGGUGAAGAAGGAGAGCUUUGGUGUGAAGCUUAUGGACUUCCAGGCUCACCGGCGGGGUGGCACCCUAAAUAGAAAGCACAUAUCCCCUGCUUUCCAGCCGCCACUCCCACCCACAGAUGGCAGCACCUUGGCUCCAGCGGGCCCAGAGCCCCCUCCCCAGAGCUCUAGGGCCGAAAGCAGCACAGGGGGUGGGACUGUCCCCUCCUCUGCGGGCAUGCUGGAGCAGGGGCCCAGCCCGGGCGACAGCAGUCCUCCAAAGCCCAAGGACCCUGCAGCUGCACCUGCACCCGGGAGAAACAGCAGUCAGGCGGCCCCCGGCCAAAGCCAGGCCCAGGCCACUGCCGGCUCCCAUCAGCUCUCUGUGGGCCCUACGCACAAUUCCGCCGGCCCGAGCCCUCACACGGUGCGCCGAGCUGUUAAAAAACCUGCUCCAGCACCCCCGAAACCUGGAAACCCACCUCCUGGCCAUCCCGGGGGCCAGAGUUCUCCAGGAGCAUCUCAGCAUCCACCCAGCCUGUCACCAAAGCCGUCCACCCGAAGCCCUUCUCCCCCAACUCAGCCGCCCGGCCAGGCCCCAGGCCAGCCCUGCGCCACCUCACAGCUCUCCGCACCCCGGAGAUACUCCAGCAGCCUGCCUCCGAUCCAAGCCCCCAACCACCCGCCGCCGCAGCCCCCCACGCAGGCCACACCGCCGCCAGCGCUCACCAAGCCAGGCAGCCAGGGCCCACCGGCCCCCGGGGCCCUGCCCGGUGAGCCCGGACUCGAGCAGUCCUCCCACACCCCUCCCCAGACGCCGACGCCCCCCAGCACUCCGCCCCUAGGAAAACAGAACCCCGGCCAGGUGGUGAGUAACCCCGAGACCGCACAGCCACACGCUGGAACCUUGCCGAGACCGAGACCAGUACCAAAGCCGAGGAACCGGCCCAGCGUGCCCCCACCCCCUCAUCCUCCUGGUGCCCACCCCGCCGGGGAUGGCAGCCUCAGCAUCGCAGCUCCCACCUCCUCCAAAAUAGUCACGGAUGCCCUUCCUAGCGCCCUCACAGGUGGGGAAGGUUUCCAGGACUAAGGUCUGUAACCCCCCCAAGCAGCUUCCUGCAGCUCCAAAUGCUCCUGCUUAGCGGUGUUUUGCAUACAUGCUUUUGACUUUGUGCUCAGGAGCAGCCAUCUGACCCCCUGCCAUCCAUUCUCUAGACAUCACUUUUGUUUUUAUCAGAAGCACUUUGAGCUGCAAAUGCUUCGAAUUCAAGAGGUAGAUGUCAGUAGAUUGCAAGCCCGAUUUCAAGCCGCUCAGAUAAGAUACUAAGAAAUGCCUCCUUUCUUUUUGGUAAGCCUUUCACAAGCAUUCUGCUCUUUUCAGCGUGAUUUCCCUCUCAUUGAUUGGCUCAUCAGCAUCACCCAAAGAGGUCUCUGGUGCAGUUAACACGGAAAAUUGCGUCCCUUGUGUCUUGAGCUUUAAGUUUUAAUUUUACCUCUUAAGUGCAAGUUAACUGCAUGGAGCUUCUUAAUUUGGUGUUUGAAUUUCUCAGGACCCCCCCCCCUCAAAAAAAAUCUUCCUCCAAAGAUCCCACACUAAAUUUCUUUGCAUUCUGGCAUGCUUACAUUUUUGCUUUCUUAAACCAUAUGAGCUUUUUGAAAGGUACUGUGAGGCUCAUCUGAAUCUUGCCUUUAGGUCCACACUUAGACGGAAUAAGGCUCUCGUUACUGCUCUAAUCAGCUGAUCUGAGCCUUAAGCCUUCAGUGGACUACUUAGCCGGCAUUUCCACAUCUUUGGUCUAGGAAGACUUUCUAUAGAUACCAGAAGGGGAAAACAAGAAUGCGAUCUUUACAACACAGAGGAGGGCACAGAGGCGUGAUUCCGCCUUCCUGACUCCUAGAUGUAUGACCUGCCAUAUUCAGUAGGAACUGAAAUUGGAAUAUUUAAUGCCCUAAAAUCCCUAACAAGGCUCAUCAUUUGCUAGAACUCACAUCUACCAGAGAAACAAAUUCUUCAAGACAGAAGGGCCUGUCUCCCCCACUUGGCUGUAGGCUUCAUUAAAUCUGUGUCUGGCUUGUUCACUGUUGUGUCCUCACCGGUAGAAUGUGGGAGGUGCUCAGUAAGUAUUUGUUUAUCAAUGAGGGAAUCUGAGGCUCACCGUCUCACUAGGAAGAGGGCUGUGAUUGGUUAAGGUGUCUUGUGAGCAUGGGAGCGAGGGAUGAUGGCUUGAGGACCGUGUAUUUACUGUCUUGCCGAAGGAGUUCCAGCCAACAUAAUAAGACGUGAAAAAGGAAUUGGAGUUAUAUAAGUAUUGGGUUGACCAAAAAGUUCGUUUGGGUUUUUCCAUGUUACAGAACCCGAACGAACUUUUUGGCCAGCCCGAUAUUAGAAAUAGAUGAGAAAAUUAAUAUUUGUAGGAGAUUUGGUGCUACACUUCAGUGCUUGUUCCCCCCUCCCACCCCAGGGACAUUUGGCAGUGUCUGGAGACAUCUUUUGUUGUCACACUGUGGGAAAGAGAGCUUGUGCCAUCGGCAUCUAGUGGGUUGAGGGCAGGGAUGCUGCCAAACAUCCCACAGUGCACAAGACAGCCCCACAGCCCAGAGGGAUCCGGCCCCAAGUGUCACUAGUGCCGAGGUUGAGGGCAUAGCAUUAAUAACAGGAGGACACUCACCAACCUCGGAGGAGGGAACUUUUCCCAGUGACGCUCAGCUAUUCCUGCAGCCCAGAUGUUGUCAGGAGGUUUCAGUUAAUGCGUUAGAGACAUUGGUAGGAAUAAGGUUUCCUCUCCUCAGUCACAGCAAGCAAAUCCUUCCAGGGUUGCAUCUCUGAGGACUGCCGUGCGCUCACAGAAAGGACCACCAGAGCCAGGAGGUGGGGCUGUGCCACGUGGCUGGCUGCCCCUGGGGUAUCAAAGGCUUGACUCAACUUCUCAGGGCUGAUGGUGCCUCUAGUAAGGGAGUGUGCGUGCAUGGGCUGACUCUCAAACUUUCCAGCUUCUCCUCUCCUCGGGUGGCCUCUGGGGUGUUACCACGCAUUGAUACCAUGUCUCCUCGUGUUUUUGUCCAGACGCCAAUUCUAGGGUUUCAGAACCGCUUCGCAGCAUCUUUCCUGAAACGCAUUCAGACUCAG